UGAUUCAAUCCAAGAGAACUGUGUGCAAUAUCAGCUUGUCAGUAUCUGCUUCUCAGCAUUGGCCAUCAUUUAAGGUGUCUGUAGCUGUACUGUUAAUAUUUCCAGCCACUACAAUGAAGAUUUAUGUGCCAUGCAUGGAAUCAAGCACAUCACUGUCCUAGGAGCCCUACUCCAAAAACACAGUGUUGAGAGUUGUUGCCUUGUCUCAAGACCAAGUCAAACAGGCACAGCCACCCAGAACUAGUUAGUCUGUGUGAAGGAAGGAAGAACCAGCAAUCUCCUUUUCCCAGGCUCUUCCCAUGAAGAGUCUUGCAAAGUUAUACCUCAUGUGAAUUAAAGUCUGCUAGAAACAUGAAGGAAAGGUCAGAGGGACCUGCAGCUGGUGGCAUGUGGGUCACAGAUCAGGCCCAGGGCAGGUGCUGACAGUCAGACUCCUAAAAAGAUGUGAAGUUUGAAAUUCACUUUUUGGUCAGAAAGCUCUGCCCAGGAGAGGAUUUUUUUGGUCCUGAAUUUAUUUAAAGGAAUCUGCUACCACUGGUAGGUAGGAACUCUUUGGAGAGAGGUCUUACAUGUGUGAGUCAUUCGAGGAGGAAAACCAGAACAGCAAAACCAGUGGGAAGAGCUGAAGAAGCCUGAGUGAGGAGCAAAGCAAGACAGAUCUACGCAAAGAGAUAACCUGACCUGUAUGGAAUUGCAAUGGAAAGGAUUUAAUGUAGGAAUUUUAGAAUUAUUCAGCUGAUUUGAUCCAUUCCUAGAAGAGCAUAAAAAGGUGACAGAAAUGUUGCUACAAGGACUACUUCAUACUUUUUGAAAACAUAGGGUGUGUAUCUCUUCUCCUGAACCAG